rnacentral:rRNA from 1 species
AACAGGAUUAGAUACCCUGGUAGUCCACGCCGUAAACGAUGUCGACUUGGAGGUUGUGCCCUUGAGGCGUGGCUUCCGGAGCUAACGCGUUAAGUCGACCGCCUGGGGAGUACGGCCGCAAGGUUAAAACUCAAAUGAAUUGACGGGGGCCCGCACAAGCGGUGGAGCAUGUGGUUUAAUUCGAUGCAACGCGAAGAACCUUACCUACUCUUGACAUCCAGAGAACUUUCCAGAGAUGGAUUGGUGCCUUCGGGAACUCUGAGACAGGUGCUGCAUGGCUGUCGUCAGCUCGUGUUGUGAAAUGUUGGGUUAAGUCCCGCAACGAGCGCAACCCUUAUCCUUUGUUGCCAGCGAUUCGGUCGGGAACUCAAAGGAGACUGCCAGUGAUAAACUGGAGGAAGGUGGGGAUGACGUCAAGUCAUCAUGGCCCUUACGAGUAGGGCUACACACGUGCUACAAUGGCAUAUACAAAGAGAAGCGACCUCGCGAGAGCAAGCGGACCUCAUAAAGUAUGUCGUAGUCCGGAUUGGAGUCUGCAACUCGACUCCAUGAAGUCGGAAUCGCUAGUAAUCGUGGAUCAGAAUGCCACGGUGAAUACGUUCCCGGGCCUUGUACACACCGCCCGUCACACCAUGGGAGUGGGUUGCAAAAGAAGUAGGUAGCUUAGCCUUCGGGAGGGCGCUUACCACUUUGUGAUUCAUGACUGGGGUGAAGUCGUAACAAGGUAACC